UUUUUUUUUUUUUUUUUUAAACACCCAUGCCACCUGCUUAGUGAUUACCAUCUCUCUCACUUCAUCUCUCUAUUAUUAUCAUCCCAACUUAUCGGAUUCCCUGCAAUCAAGAAUGCAUUCCCUUUAUCAUCUUACCAUACAAUUGAAAUACCGCUCACACCGAAAAUGACGCCGAACCUCAUCCGCUGAAAAUUCACUGGAAAAUCUAGAGCCGUUUAUGGGGGUUAGUGCUCAAAGUUGGCUUCCUUUCACUGGGAUUAGAGGGAUGUUCCUCCUACUGGUUUCAAGCACAAAGUCACUGAUAAUCUUCAAAGGUAAUAUCUUUUUUUCAAUUUUAAUUUCAGUUUAUUUUCUAGGGUUUUGAUAAAUUCUGGGUAUUAUUCCAUUAAUUAUUUUCUCCAUUUAUUUUCCCAAAAUUUGAUUGGAUUUGAAAAAAAAAAAAAAAAAAAAAAAAAGCGGGUGAUUAAAGUGAAUGGAGCACCAGGUACUCGAUAUACCAACAUUAUGUUGAUUUUCUUGAGCAUUACACCAUGGAAGCUCCUCAGGCCAGGUGAUCUAUUCACCCCCGCCUCCAAUUCCCCUCAUACAUACAGUAAUGACCCUAUAUGCUAAGGUAAACUCUUAUUUUUGAGAAUUUGAUUUUAAGGUUAUUACAUUUUUCGUAAAUUUUGCAUAAUCUAUACUAAACUUGUCUGUUUUUCUCAUGGUAGUGUAUAUCCCAUUAUAUUGUUGUAAAACAAUCUAGCGCCAUUGGGUUUUUUUUAUCAAGCGCAUUAUUUGAUCAUGUUUGGCUGUUGUUGGUAUCAAGUUGAGCAAAUUUAUCCCUUUAUAAUUGUUGUACAACAUUCCAUCACUUGUUUUGUUCUGAAAACAUGAAAUACUCUUUAGCUAAUAGGUCUAUCUGUCAAUCUGAUUAUAUUCGUCUCUACCGAAAAAACCUGGUACUGGUGGUUCUUUCCCUACUAAGAUAAGUUUGGAUGUUUUGUGCUGUGAUUUGUCUUGGUAAUCACCUAGAUUAGUCUUAAUUCUUGAACCUUUUAUUCCUUUCUAUGACUUCAUAAUUCUGCUAUAUGUUAUGUUCUGUGCUAAGAAGCUCAUUGAUUAAUUACAACUCAUUCAACUCGAUUAAAUUACGAGUCUCAUGGGGUGGGCUGAUCCAUUUUGAUCAAUCAAUUAGUCUUAUAAUUCUUUUUUGCCUGUAUGACUUCAUAAUAUUAUUUUGCAGAGCUUGUGGCUUUAGUAUAAUAUAUUUGUUUCCAUUUUUGCAUUGGACAGAAGUCCUACCGCCUCUCCCAUUGCACGUCUCUUUAAUUAGUUGGUGAAAAUUUCAGUUAUGAGGGUUGUCUCGCUAUUCAAUAUAUCAUUGACUCGCUGAGCUGAUGGAUCUAAUUUAAUAGCAAUAUCUUAUAUCUGUUGCUCUGAUAAUGCAGUUUUCUCAAUUAGUAAUUUGUUCAUGUUAUCGGAAACUAAGAGCCUUGGGGCUCUCCUAAUGAUGCAUGGUUUAUAAGAAAAUAAAAUGCGUUAAUAAGCAAUCAGGGUGUUUCCAUUUCUAAAAGAUAAAUAAAAUCAAGAGCAGUGUCUCUAAUAUUUAUUUCACUGUAUGAAUAGUCUUUGAUAUGCUGAUGGUAUGGUUCAUAUAAAUGCUUUUUCGUCUGUAGCCUUGAAAAUGUAUGUAAAUUUAGUUAUCUAAAUGACAUUUGGCAUGUAGGGGUGUUUAGUUAUCUAAAUGACAUUUGGCAUGUAGCGGUGUUGUUUAGUGGUUAGUCAUAAGAAUCCAUCUUAGCUUGCAAGUUAUUGUUACAUUGUAAUUCUUUUCAUAUUCCAUUCAUUCAAAUUUACCAUCACUUGUAGUUUAUCGUAAUUAUUCUCAAAUUCCAUUCAUUCAUUUGGUGCCAUCAAUUCAAUCUUAAUUAAAACUCAAUACGUGGUAGAGUUUGUAACUGAUAUGCAUGUAAUUUUAACCAAAUGUAUUAUAAUUGAAAUUCUAAUUAUAUAUAUGUACUCUUAUUCUUUGCAAUUAUUGUCAUUUACAAUUUAUUAUAAUUAUUUUCAAAUUUCAUUCAUUCAUUUGGUGUCAUCAAUUCAAUAUAAUUAAAACCCAUCUUGUAUGUGUUGAUGGGGUGGUAAUUUUAAUUUCUCCCUCUUCAAUUUCAUCUUCAUCAAUGGAUGCUCUAGAUCAAGUUUUUGAUCCUUUGAGAAAUUUCAAUGAGGGCAGGAAGGGUCUAGAUGAUAUUGUUCUAGGUAAAUGUUUUUCAAAGAAGAUAGGUGAGGUUGAUAUGAAUGGGAAUAAAAUGCCUUUGUCAACACUGCACAGAAGGCUAUAGAGGCUCUAGAUGAAUAUUUGAAGGAAAGGAGACAACGAGUAGUUCUCUUAUCAAUCCUAACCUACCUUAGAGGUUUAUUGUUAGUUAAAGAUACCACUUUUCUGGUGAGAUUCUGGUGCAUCCUUAUCAUAGCUGCUAUGUUUCGUGAUCUAUCAGGUCACACAAGAUACAAUUCCAGGAAACUCUAAGGCUAUAUUCUUGAAGUCCUGUAAUUUUAGUGUAACUGGAUGUAUGUAGUUUGAGGAUUAUGAAGUCUUUUUGGUGUUUGCUUUUGUAUAUGUAUUCUGUAUUUAUUCUGUUGGAUGUAGCAUUAUUCUCAGUCA